GACGAACGCUGGCGGCGUGCUUAACACAUGCAAGUCGAACGGGUCUGCCCUGUUUUUUGCGGGGUGGGUCAGUGGCGAACGGGUGAGUAACACGUGAGUAACCUGCCCCUCACUUCUGGAUAACCGCUUGAAAGGGUGGCUAAUACGGGGUGUUCUGGCUGUGCCGCAUGGUGUGGCCGGGAAAGAUUCACUUUUGUGGUGUUUUGGUGGGGGAUGGGCUCGCGGCCUAUCAGCUUGUUGGUGGGGUGAUGGCCUGCCAAGGCUUUGACGGGUAGCCGGCCUGAGAGGGUGGGCGGUCACACUGGGACUGAGAUACGGCCCAGACUCCUGCGGGAGGCAGCAGUGGGGGGUAUUGCACAAUGGGCGGAAGCCUGAUGCAGCGACGUCGCGUGAGGGAUGGAGGCCUUCGGGUUGUGAACCUCUUUCGCCGGUGAAGAAGGUCCUGCUCUUUUUGGGGGGGUUGACGGUAGCCGGGUUAUGAAGCGCCGGCUAACUACGUG
rnacentral:rRNA from 1 species